AGAGCGAACGCUGGCGGCAUGCUUAACACAUGCAAGUCGCACGGUUCGGGGGUAACUCCGGGCAGUGGCGGACGGGUGAGUAACGCGUAGGUAUCUAUCCUUGGGUGGGGGACAACCGUGGGAAACUACGGCUAAUACCGCAUGAUGACCGAGGUCCAAAGCCCGCAAGGGUGCCUGGGGAGGAGCCUGCGUACGAUUAGCUAGUUGGUGGGGUAACUGCCUACCAAGGCGACGAUCGGUAGCUGGUCUGAGAGGAUGAUCAGCCACACUGGGAUUGAGAACGGCCCAGACUCCUACGGGGGGCAGCAGUGAGGAAUUUCGUCAAUGGGGGAAACCCUGAACGAGCAACGCCGCGUGCAGGAAGACACUUUUCGGAGCGUAAACUGCUUUUCUCGGGACGAGUAAGGACGGUACCCGAGGAAUCGAGCCCCGGCUAACUACGUGCCAGCAGCCGC
rnacentral:rRNA from 1 species